GUCCAGGAGCGGGAAUCGAACCCACAACCUUCUGCUUACCGGGCAGGUGCCAUGUCCACUAGGCUACCCUGGA